CGGCCCUCGCGUGCGGUUUACACAGAUGGACGUUCACUCACUGGCCACGUGCGAGCACACAGCGCAGUGACACUAAGUUUAUCUGUCGUGUUGUGCAACGUCACUGCCACCAGCCUCCGCUCGGGAGCGUCUGCGUCCUCCAACCCGGACUCUGUCCUCAGUAAACCUCGCAAACCACCCACCCCGGGCCCCAACCCCUUCUGUGGACUGUAGCCUUUCACCAUGCUUCACAGGUCUGCGCAGGCCAAGCUUAUUGAAGGCCUCCUGGGCACAUAUGGGCUCCCCCAAACAUGUUUUCCUGAAAGAAAACCUUUAUCAGGCCAGACCACUGGGGACCCAGAGAGCUUCAGAUUUACGCUGCUUCUGUGGGAGCAAUCCAGCCACAGUGGUCCCCAGCAGAAGGCAAACACCCCACUGAUUCGGCCAUGCAGCCUCGGGAACGGCGUCCCACAGCUGACAGGGUGAGAGGCAGCACCCCAGGGCAGGACCCUUGCUUCCCACCUUCUGGCACCACCCUGCACUCCACCAGCACCCAUCCCCAGCAGGGCCCAUCUGCAGAACACAAAGCCGGUCAUUUGAGGAAUCUGGCAAUGCUAAAUCUACCAAGAGGAGUUCCCUCGGCACCUUACACUGCAACCACUGUGUGGCUUGAAUCUAGACUAGCGACUAAAGAGAGAAGAGUGUCUGCUGUGAAAUAAUAGAGAGAAGGACGUUGGCCUUGAAAGGACAUUCACAGACAUCUGUCUGCACUUGGUCCUGGGACCCCGCCUGGCUUGCUGCAAUGCCCAGGAGCGGCGGGCUCCUUGGGCCUGCUUUGGGAUCUGCACUAGAGCGUCUGGCUAGUUCUUAAGGUUGAGUGAGCACUGACGGGUGAUGUUAUCACUUAGAAGGCUUCACCUGCCCCUCGGUUUGUCUUUCAGAAUAAAAAACAUCAACUUCAUCAAAU